rnacentral:piRNA from 1 species
UGCAUGGCAUCCUGCCCUCUGUUUCAGGC